CCUACGGGUGGCAGCAGUGAGGAAUAUUGGUCAAUGGGCGAGAGCCUGAACCAGCCAAGUAGCGUGAAGGAUGACUGCCCUAUGGGUUGUAAACUUCUUUUAUAUGGGAAUAAAAUGUCCCACGUGUGGGGUUUUGUAUGUACCCUAUGAAUAAGCAUCGGCUAACUCCGUGCCAGCAGCCGCGGUAAUACGGAGGAUCCGAGCGUUAUCCGGAUUUAUUGGGUUUAAAGGGAGCGUAGGUGGAUUGUUAAGUCAGUUGUUAAAGUUUGGGGCUCAAACCUGGAAUUGCAGUUGAAACUGUCAGUCUUGAGUACGGGAGAGGUAGGCGGAAUGCGUGGUGUAGCGGUGAAAUGCUUAGAUAUCACGAAGAACUCCGAUUGCGAAGGCAGCUCACUGGAGAGCAACUGACGCUGAGGCUCGAAAGCGUGGGUAUCAAACAGGAUUAGAUACCCCAGUAGUC
rnacentral:rRNA from 1 species